CUACGUGCCAGCAGCCGCGGUAAUACGUAGGGCGCAAGCGUUGUCCGGAAUUAUUGGGCGUAAAGAGCUCGUAGGCGGCUGGUCGCGUCUGUCGUGAAAACUUCCGGCUCAACCGGGGGCUUGCGGUGGGUACGGGCCGGCUAGAGUGCGGUAGGGGUAACUGGAACUCCUGGUGUAGCGGUGGAAUGCGCAGAUAUCAGGAGGAACACCGAUGGCGAAGGCAGGUCUCUGGGCUGUAACUGACGCUGAGAAGCGAAAGCAUGGGGAGCGAACAGGAUUAGAUACCCUGGUAGUCCAUGCCGUAAACGUUGGGCACUAGGUGUGGGGGACAUUCCACGUUUUCCGCGCCGUAGCUAACGCAUUAAGUGCCCCGCCUGGGGAGUACGGCCGCAAGGCUAAAACUCAAAGAAAUUGACGGGGGCCCGCACAAGCGGCGGAGCAUGCGGAUUAAUUCGAUGCAACGCGAAGAACCUUACCAAGGCU
rnacentral:rRNA from 1 species